rfam:Schistosoma mansoni, Puerto Rico, WGS project CABG01000000 data, contig: 0013
ACCCGGCUGACGAAUCCCAAAUAGGACGAAACGCGCGUCCUGGAU